rnacentral:misc_RNA from 1 species
UUAUUUCUUUUUUUUUUUUCUAUUUUAAACAAACAAAGACAACAUACUUACAUAGCAUACGUAACUACAUAUGCAGCAAAUGAAUAACUUGACAUUUGGUAGAUCCUCAUAUAAAUACGUCAUUGGUUGAGAAAAUUUAAUGGGUAACAUGCAAGUGGCUCACAAAAACAAAGUCAAACUCGCAUACUCUAAUUCCAUGGUUCCAUUGAAUUUAUGUCUAUCCACAUGUCCUGCCUUCAAUAACUCAACAUAAAUGUAAAAAAUUUAAAUGGAUUCCUCACCUCACCAAAUAGUAGAAUCAAGGU